rnacentral:rRNA from 2 species
UGCAGUCGGACGGGAUCCGUCGGAGAGCUUGCUCGAAGACGGUGAGAGUGGCGCACGGGUGCGUAACGCGUGAGCAACCUACCUCUAUCAGGGGGAUAGCCUCUCGAAAGAGAGAUUAACACCGCAUAACAUAUGUGACCGGCAUCGGUUGGAUAUUAAAUAUUUAUAGGAUAGAGAUGGGCUCGCGUGACAUUAGCUAGUUGGUAGGGUAACGGCUUACCAAGGCGACGAUGUCUAGGGGCUCUGAGAGGAGAAUCCCCCACACUGGUACUGAGACACGGACCAGACUCCUACGGGAGGCAGCAGUAAGGAAUAUUGGUCAAUGGGCGGAAGCCUGAACCAGCCAUGCCGCGUGCAGGAUGACUGCCCUAUGGGUUGUAAACUGCUUUUGUCCAGGAAUAAACCUUUCUACGUGUAGGAAGCUGAAUGUACUGGAAGAAUAAGGAUCGGCUAACUCCGUGCCAGCAGCCGCGGUAAUACGGAGGAUCCGAGCGUUAUCCGGAUUUAUUGGGUUUAAAGGGUGCGUAGGCGGCCUAUUAAGUCAGGGGUGA